rnacentral:rRNA from 1 species
AGAUUAAGUUAUUAAGGGCGCACGGUGGAUGCCUUGGCACUAGAAGCCGAUGAAGGACGUUACUAACGACGAUAUGCUUUGGGGAGCUGUAAGUAAGCUUUGAUCCAGAGAUUUCCGAAUGGGGAAACCCAGCAUGAGUUAUGUCAUG